rnacentral:lncRNA from 10 species
GAGAAAGAAAUCCGCCCCGAGAUGCACCUGCAGCCCCGCGCCCAUCCGUGCGUGGCUGCGGCUGUGCGUGCCCGCGAACGGGGACCAGCGGCCGCCGAGUCCGUCCACAUCGCCAGGCCAGGAGUCAGAACAAGGACGGGCCUGUGAUGUGUCUGUCUAUGACGAGGAGGACAAUGUCCUAAGGAAUGGAGAGGAAGAAAGUGAAGGGAACCAGGUCCCUGGAUUCCAUGUGGAACAGUAGCCCAGGAUGUGCACUAUGGACUGUUACAAGAGAGAGACAUGAUCUUCCUUAAGGCAUUGAUUUGUCAUGAGUCUCUUUGUUAUAGCCACUUAACGUUACCUUAAUACACCCACUUCAUGGAUAAGUAAAACUGAGGCUUGGAGAAGCCCACAUUGACACAGCAAAGAAGGCUGGGGCUCUUGUGCUGGUUAAAUGGACCUUGAUGUCUUCCAAAUGUUUUCAUGCUGGAUUCUGAGCCACUCUCCUGGCUGCAACUCUGAGGCCGGGCAGACUUUCCGCUGGAAAGAGAACUCAAAUACUGGUGAGAGGUGGAUUUGAAGCCAGGAGCCCCAGGUUUUGGCUCUGCAGGUUUGCACCCAGCUCUGUGGUGUAUGCCCUCACAGGUCACCCA